GUCUGACCUGCCCUCUGAUUUAUUGAAUGGCCGCGAUAAUUUGAUCGUGCAAAGGUAGCAUAAUCAUUAGUUUUUUAAUUGAGAACUGGAAUGAAAGGUUGGACGAAAAAAAAACUGUCUCAAUUUAAUAAUUAGAAUUUUAUAUUUAAGUAAAAAAGCUUAAAUAAUUUUAAAGGACGAGAAGACCCUAUAGAGUUUAAUAUAUUUUUUAGUUUAAGAAUUUUAAUAAUAAAUAUUUAGUUGGGGUGAUUGAAAAAUUUAAUUAACUUUUUUUACAUUAAUAUAUGAUUAAUUGAUCCAUAUGAUUAAAAGAUUAAAUUACCUUAGGGAUAACAGCGUAAUUUUUUUUGAGGGUUCAUAUCGAAAAAAAAGUUUGCGACCUCGAUGUUGGAUUAAAAUAAACUUUUGGUGUAGAAGCUUUAGGUCUGUUCGACCUUUAAAAUUUU
rnacentral:rRNA from 1 species